UCAAGCAGAAAGGGCACAGGGCGGAUGCCUUGGCACUAAGGGCCGAAGAAAGACGUGAUAAGCUGCGAUAAGCUUCGGGGAGGAGCAAAUAUCCAUUGAUCCGGAGAUCUCUGAAUGGGGAAACCCACAUGAGCAAACCUCAUGUAUCCAUACGCCAAUCCAUAACGUAUGGAGGGGAACCCGGGGAACUGAAACAUCUAAGUACCCGGAGGAAAAGAAAGAAAACUCGAUUCCGUAAGUAGCGGCGAGCGAACGCGGAAGAGCCUAAACCAGGUCGCGUGCGAUCUGGAGUUACGGACUGCAUUUAAGAUUCUGUGAUGUUAGUAGAACGGUUUUGGGAAAGCCGGCCAGAGAGGGUGAAAGCCCCGUACACGAAAACAGAGCAGACUGAGCAGGAUCCAGAGUACCGCGGGACACGAGAAACCCUGCGGGAAUUCAGGGGGACCACCCCCUAAGGCUAAAUACCACUUAGUGACCGAUAGCGCAUAGUACUGUGAAGGAAAGGUGAAAAGGACCCCGGGAGGGGAGUGAAAGAGAACCUGAAACCCUGUGUCUACAAGCUGUGGGAGUGCCCUAUAUGCACGACCGCGUACUUUUUGUAGAACGGUCCGGCGAGUUGCGCACACUGGCAAGGUUAAGGACUCAAGGUCCGGAGCCGUAGGGAAACCAAGUCUUAAUAGGGCCAGAGUCAGUGUGGGCAGACCCGAAACCGGGUGAUCUAUCCAUGUCCAGGUUGAAGCUGCCGUAAGAGGCAGUGGAGGACCGAACCCACAUCCGUUGAAAAGGGUGGGGAUGAGGUGUGGAUAGGGGAGAAAUUCCAAUCGAACCCGGAGAUAGCUGGUUCUCCUCGAAAUAGCUUUAGGGCUAGCCUUGGUAGAGAUUUGCGGAGGUAGAGCACUGAAUUUCCUAGGGGGCGUCAAAGCCUACCGAAGAAUAUCAAACUCCGAAUGCCGCGUAAUUGCUUACCGGGAGUCAGACUGCACGAGAUAAGUUGGGCAGUCAAAAGGGAAAGAGCCCAGACCUUCAGUUAAGGUCCCAAAGUGUACGUUAAGUGGAAAAGGAUGUGGGAUUUCGAAGACAACCAGGAUGUUGGCUCAGAAGCAGCCAUUCAUUCAAAGAGUGCGUAAUAGCUCACUGGUCGAGAGGUCCUGCGCCGAAAAUGUCCGGGGCUGAAACGUACCACCGAAACUAAGGAAUCCAGUAAUGGAUUGGUAGAGGAGCAUUGCAUGCGGGAAGAAGCAGUACCGUAAGGAGCUGUGGACUGCAUGGAAGAGAGAAUGCCGGAAUGAGUAGCGAGAUAGAGGUGAGAAUCCUCUAGGCCGAAUAUCCAAGGUUUCCAGGGUAAAGCUGAUCUGCCCUGGGUAAGUCGGGGCCUAAGGUGAGGACGAGAGUCGUAGCCGAUGGACAACAGGUGGAGAUUCCUGUACUAUGAUAUGACAGAACUGUGGGGACACGUGCAGAGAGCGGAAGCCGGGAACGGUAUCCCGGUGCAAGCGAGGUACCAGAUGCGUUGGAAAAACCGCGUAUCAAUGGGAAGACGUGAUGCGGAGUGAAGUUUAGUAAUGAAGUCCGUGAGCUGUGCGUCAAGAAAAGCCGCUAUUGUUCAUACCAUACCCGUACCGUAAACCGACACAGGUGGAUGAGGAGAGAAUCCUAAGGCCGGCGGAAGAAGCAUUGUCAAGGAACUCGGCAAAAUGACCCCGUAACUUCGGGAGAAGGGGUGCCUGCGAGAGCAGGCCGCAGAGAAUAGGCUCAAGCAACUGUUUAGCAAAAACACAGGUCUAUGCGAAACCGUAAGGUGAGGUAUAUGGGCUGACGCCUGCCCGGUGCUGGAAGGUUAAGAGGAGAGGUUAGCGCAAGCGAAGCUUUGAAUUUAAGCCCCAGUAAACGGCGGCCGUAACUAUAACGGUCCUAAGGUAGCGAAAUUCCUUGUCGGGUAAGUUCCGACCCGCACGAAAGGCGUAAUGAUUUGAGCGCUGUCUCGACAAUGCAUCCGGUGAAAUUGAAGUACCAGUGAAGAUGCUGGUUACCUGCGCCAGGACGGAAAGACCCCAUGGAGCUUUACUCCAGUUUGGUACUGGGAUCCGGUACUGC
rnacentral:rRNA from 1 species